rnacentral:rRNA from 1 species
AGUGAACGCUGGCGGUAGGCCUAACACAUGCAAGUCGAACGGCAGCACAGUAAGAGCUUGCUCUUACGGGUGGCGAGUGGCGGACGGGUGAGGAAUACAUCGGAAUCUACUUUUUCGUGGGGGAUAACGUAGGGAAACUUACGCUAAUACCGCAUACGACCUACGGGUGAAAGCAGGGGAUCUUCGGUCCUUGCGCGAUUGAAUGAGCCGAUGUCGGAUUAGCUAGUUGGCGGGGUAAAGGCCCACCAAGGCGACGAUCCGUAGCCGGUCUGAGAGGAUGAUCAGCCACACUGGAACUGAGACACGGUCCAGACUCCUACGGGAGGCAGCAGUGGGGAAUAUUGGACAAUGGGCGCAAGCCUGAUCCAGCCAUACCGCGUGGGUGAAGAAGGCCUUCGGGUUGUAAAGCCCUUUUGUUGGGAAAGAAAAGCAGCAGGUUAAUACCCCGCUGUUCUGACGGUACCCAAAGAAUAAGCACCGGCUAACUUCGUG